rnacentral:rRNA from 1 species
GGGUUGUGAGGUUAAGCGACUAAGCGUACACGGUGGAUGCCCUGGCAGUCAGAGGCGAUGAAGGACGUGCUAAUCUGCGAUAAGCGUCGGUAAGGUGAUAUGAACCGUUAUAACCGGCGAUUUCCGAAUGGGGAAACCCAGUGUGUUUCGACACACUAUCAUUAACUGAAUCCAUAGGUUAAUGAGGCGAACCGGGGGAACUGAAACAUCUAAGUACCCCGAGGAAAAGAAAUCAACCGAGAUUCCCCCAGUAGCGGCGAGCGAACGGGGAGCAGCCCAGAGCCUGAAUCAGUGUGUGUGUUAGUGGAAGCGUCUGGAAAGGCGCGCGAUACAGGGUGACAGCCCCGUACACAAAAAUGCACAUAUUGUGAGCUCGAUGAGUAGGGCGGGACACGUGGUAUCCUGUCUGAAUAUGGGGGGACCAUCCUCCAAGGCUAAAUACUCCUGACUGACCGAUAGUGAACCAGUACCGUGAGGGAAAGGCGAAAAGAACCCCGGCGAGGGGAGUGAAAAAGAACCUGAAACCGUGUACGUACAAGCAGUGGGAGCACGCUUAGGCGUGUGACUGCGUACCUUUUGUAUAAUGGGUCAGCGACUUAUAUUCUGUAGCAAGGUUAACCGAAUAGGGGAGCCGAAGGGAAACCGAGUCUUAACUGGGCGUUAAGUUGCAGGGUAUAGACCCGAAACCCGGUGAUCUAGCCAUGGGCAGGUUGAAGGUUGGGUAACACUAACUGGAGGACCGAACCGACUAAUGUUGAAAAAUUAGCGGAUGACUUGUGGCUGGGGGUGAAAGGCCAAUCAAACCGGGAGAUAGCUGGUUCUCCCCGAAAGCUAUUUAGGUAGCGCCUCGUGAAUUCAUCUCCGGGGGUAGAGCACUGUUUCGGCAAGGGGGUCAUCCCGACUUACCAACCCGAUGCAAACUGCGAAUACCGGAGAAUGUUAUCACGGGAGACACACGGCGGGUGCUAACGUCCGUCGUGAAGAGGGAAACAACCCAGACCGCCAGCUAAGGUCCCAAAGUCAUGGUUAAGUGGGAAACGAUGUGGGAAGGCCCAGACAGCCAGGAUGUUGGCUUAGAAGCAGCCAUCAUUUAAAGAAAGCGUAAUAGCUCACUGGUCGAGUCGGCCUGCGCGGAAGAUGUAACGGGGCUAAACCAUGCACCGAAGCUGCGGCAGCGACGCUUAUGCGUUGUUGGGUAGGGGAGCGUUCUGUAAGCCUGUGAAGGUGUGCUGUGAGGCAUGCUGGAGGUAUCAGAAGUGCGAAUGCUGACAUAAGUAACGAUAAAGCGGGUGAAAAGCCCGCUCGCCGGAAGACCAAGGGUUCCUGUCCAACGUUAAUCGGGGCAGGGUGAGUCGACCCCUAAGGCGAGGCCGAAAGGCGUAGUCGAUGGGAAACAGGUUAAUAUUCCUGUACUUGGUGUUACUGCGAAGGGGGGACGGAGAAGGCUAUGUUGGCCGGGCGACGGUUGUCCCGGUUUAAGCGUGUAGGCUGGUUUUCCAGGCAAAUCCGGAAAAUCAAGGCUGAGGCGUGAUGACGAGGCACUACGGUGCUGAAGCAACAAAUGCCCUGCUUCCAGGAAAAGCCUCUAAGCAUCAGGUAACAUCAAAUCGUACCCCAAACCGACACAGGUGGUCAGGUAGAGAAUACCAAGGCGCUUGAGAGAACUCGGGUGAAGGAACUAGGCAAAAUGGUGCCGUAACUUCGGGAGAAGGCACGCUGAUAUGUAGGUGAAGUCCCUCGCGGAUGGAGCUGAAAUCAGUCGAAGAUACCAGCUGGCUGCAACUGUUUAUUAAAAACACAGCACUGUGCAAACACGAAAGUGGACGUAUACGGUGUGACGCCUGCCCGGUGCCGGAAGGUUAAUUGAUGGGGUCAGCGCAAGCGAAGCUCUUGAUCGAAGCCCCGGUAAACGGCGGCCGUAACUAUAACGGUCCUAAGGUAGCGAAAUUCCUUGUCGGGUAAGUUCCGACCUGCACGAAUGGCGUAAUGAUGGCCAGGCUGUCUCCACCCGAGACUCAGUGAAAUUGAACUCGCUGUGAAGAUGCAGUGUACCCGCGGCAAGACGGAAAGACCCCGUGAACCUUUACUAUAGCUUGACACUGAACAUUGAGCCUUGAUGUGUAGGAUAGGUGGGAGGCUUUGAAGUGUGGACGCCAGUCUGCAUGGAGCCGGCCUUGAAAUACCACCCUUUAAUGUUUGAUGUUCUAACGUGGACCCGUGAUCCGGGUUGCGGACAGUGUCUGGUGGGUAGUUUGACUGGGGCGGUCUCCUCCUAAAGAGUAACGGAGGAGCACGAAGGUUGGCUAAUCCUGGUCGGACAUCAGGAGGUUAGUGCAAUGGCAUAAGCCAGCUUGACUGCGAGCGUGACGGCGCGAGCAGGUGCGAAAGCAGGUCAUAGUGAUCCGGUGGUUCUGAAUGGAAGGGCCAUCGCUCAACGGAUAAAAGGUACUCCGGGGAUAACAGGCUGAUACCGCCCAAGAGUUCAUAUCGACGGCGGUGUUUGGCACCUCGAUGUCGGCUCAUCACAUCCUGGGGCUGAAGUAGGUCCCAAGGGUAUGGCUGUUCGCCAUUUAAAGUGGUACGCGAGCUGGGUUUAGAACGUCGUGAGACAGUUCGGUCCCUAUCUGCCGUGGGCGCUGGAGAACUGAGGGGGGCUGCUCCUAGUACGAGAGGACCGGAGUGGACGCAUCACUGGUGUUCGGGUUGUCAUGCCAAUGGCACUGCCCGGUAGCUAAAUGCGGAAGAGAUAAGUGCUGAAAGCAUCUAAGCACGAAACUUGCCCCGAGAUGAGUUCUCCCUGACCCUUUAAGGGUCCUGAAGGAACGUUGAAGACGACGACGUUGAUAGGCCGGGUGUGUAAGCGCAGCGAUGCGUUGAGCUAACCGGUACUAAUGAACCGUGAGGCUUAACCUUACAACGCCGAAG